rnacentral:rRNA from 1 species
AUUGAACGCUGGCGGCAGGCCUAACACAUGCAAGUCGAACGAGUGGCGGACGGGUGAGGAAUACAUCGGAAUCUACUCUGUCGUGGGGGAUAACGAAGGGAAACUUACGCUAAUACCGCAUACGAUUGAAUGAGCCGAUGUCGGAUUAGCUAGUUGGCGGGGUAAAGGCCCACCAAGGCGCCGAUCCGUAGCUGGUCUGAGAGGAUGAUCAGUCACACUGGAACUGAGACACGGUCCAGACUCCUACGGGAGGCAGCAGUGGGGAAUAUUGGACAAUGGGCGAAAGCCUGAUCCAGCCAUGCCGCGUGUGUGAAGAAGGUCUUCGGAUUGUAAAGCACUUUAAGUUGGGAGGCGUUACCAACAGAAUAAGCACCGGCUAACUUCGUGCCAGCCGCCGCGGUAAUUC